GGCUCACAUUUCCCUAAUCUAAUGGUCUCCAAGUACACGUACUGCAUAGGCACAUGACAACAGACAGCAAGCAAGGAUUACCCACCAUCUUGCUGAUCCACUUGACUGAUGACGUCACCAUAUCCCAGAGGCCAAAUUAAUAUGCGGAUUUUAUAUUGGCGAUCGCUAAAAAAAUCCGCCAAUCCGCCAAAAUUUCAUCUUAUACGGUGCACUAUUUCUCGAAUAGGGCUUAUGGACCGGAGACAUAGAACAAGAAGUGGUUAUUUUGGCAAGCAGGAAUGUUACAACGUGUAAUGUCUUCCUGAGCAAGUUACAGACGGUAUCAACUGGGAAUGUAAAGAACAAAAAAGCUCGGUUUCAAAUCAGUGCAACAUCUAGUAAUGGUUCAACUGUAUACACGUUACAAAGUGUCAAAUAUCCUAACAAUUGGUUGACAAUUACAAACACUGCAGUCGGAACGGCCACUUCACAUUCUGCGGAAGAUCAUGCUCACAUCAACAUUCAAGAGACAAAUGAUAAUUACUACAUAUUCCGAUCCGUCUCGGAUCCCUCUUCCUACCUCGGAGUCACCUCAGAAGGCUGUAUUGCUCCUCCCAACACGGUAUCACCUACUAGCUCGCUUUCCAACUUCUACAACGGGUUGAUGUAAUGACGCAACAUUUUUGACUUUGAACCGUACCUGUAGCAGUACGGCAAUAUUCUGACAGUUAACAUGUCUUCCUAUUAUUAAUUUGCGUUAGUUAAUUAGUAAAAGUGUUUUUGUGAGCUGGCUGUUGAGAGAGAA